GGGUCCCCUUAGCGCCUCUGGGAGGGCCGCUGUCCGUAGUGCUGACCCACUGAGCGGCCUGCCUGCCCACCACAGAGCGCAGCCCCUGCCCCCUAGCCCCCGUUCCUUUGCCCCAACGCAGCAGGUGGAGCGCAUUGGUGACAUAGAGGAGCGGCAAGAUCCUGGUGUCCCUGAUGCUACAGCACUCAGCAAGGAGGCCUCAUCGUGGGCAUCAUCCGCUGUGUGCACCUGGCCGCCAUGGACGCCAAUGGCUACUCAGACCCUUUUGCGUCAAGCUGUGAGUCGGGGCCUCGGGACCCUGAAGGGACCAUGAGGGUCUCAGUCCUUGGAAAGGGAGAGCCAGAGGGCUUCCUCCAAGUCACAGCACCCGAAGACCCAGACAGGGGACGAGCCUGCCACGGUCUCAGUGACACAGGGAUUGGAGUGGGAGGCUGGCGCCUCAGGUGCUGGGCCAGGCGCGACACCUGCCACGGGUGAGGCUUUGUGAUUCUGUCCCUCCUGGGGGCAGGAGGUGUGGUCACAGUAACCCCCUAGGACUCCCAGGAGUCGGCUGCAUUCCCUGUGGCAGCUCAGAACCUCACAGCAAGGAAGUCAUGUGGCUUCUCCCGAUUCAUUCUGCAGAUGCACCAAGGAAAGACCUGAGACCUGGGGGCUAUUCCAGGACCCUCAGUCCUGGGGCGUAGAUCCAAGCGCAUGAAUCAGCCUCUCAGCGUCCUCCCCUGAAGUGGAGAUUGCAGUUCUGUUUCUGUCCAGGGGACACGGGCUCAAAUGAGACAGCAUACCCAAAAUGCUCAGGGCUAGAAGUGUCUCAGAUUUUGCACUUUUUAAGAUUUGGGAAUAUUUACAUCUACAUAGUGAAAUAUGUUGGGUAGUACCCAAGUCUAAGCACAAAAUUCAUUUAGGUUUCAUAUACCCUUUUACCAGAGCCCAAAGGUAAGUUUAUAGUACGUUUAGUGCACCUGUGUUUUGACUGCUGCCAUCACACGAGGUCAGGUGUGAAGGGUUCAGAUUUCUAAAAGUUUCAGAUUUUGGAGCAUUUCUGAUUUAGGGGUCAGAGAUGCCCAACCUGUAUAAAGCAGUUAGAACUGUGCCUGGUGCCAGAAUGUUUUGCACCUGAGUAGAAUUCUGCUUUGCUGUGUGGCAGCGAAGUGCAUUUUGUGGACAUGGUUAAGGACAUGGGCUCUGGAUCCAGACUGCUCUGUUAGGGUUCAGUAUUCUCCAGCUGUGUGACAUUGGGCUUGUGGCUUAACUUCUGGGCCUAGGAGUCCUCAUCUGUAAAGUAGAGAGAGCAACACUGUGCAGUAUUAGUCCUGGUGCUCCAAGAAGGAGACACCAGGAGUGCAUGAGAUACACAAGAGAUUCAUUGGGGAAAAUGCCUGUGAAGGGAAUCAGGAAGAGGAGGUCCCUAGAGACAGCAGAGUUUGUCCGCUUUAUCAGAGAUCUGAUUUAUCAAGGAAGGGAGGAGGGAGGGAAGGAAGUCGAAGCAGGAAGACUUCCUGGCUGCAGUGCAGUUCCAAGAUGUUUCAGCCGGCCACUGCGAGGCCUUGAGCACAAAGCCACCCAUCCAAGAAGCCCCAGUGGGCUGCCCCCCGCACCCAUCCCUGCAGGCCUGUGAUUGGCUGAGGGCAGCAUGAUGUCAGUUCACAGCCCUGUAGCUUUUCUGUUAAUUUCAGCCCCUGCAGUUGGAGAUCUGAGAAGUGCAGUUUCAUGGGGUUUUGACAUAAUAAGUGUUCAAUAAACACCUGCUGUUGUGGUUAUAAAUAACUACCAUGGCUUUGCUUACUCAUGGCAGAGUGUCUAUUAGUGUUCUCUCUGGGUGGAAGGCACCCCCCCACACACACUACCCCAUACCCAAAGCAAAACUUCCCUUAAGCCCAGGGCUAAAGAACAGGCCUGUGUGGAUUUUCUGUGAGCAAAGAUUUAGUUAAAACACAUGCUCCAGGGAUAAGUGUGAUUUCUCAGAAUAAUUUGGUUUUGUUUCCU
rnacentral:lncRNA from 1 species